GAUGGACGUACCGCUGGUGCACCAGUUGUUCCGCCAGGAGCACGGCUGGGUAGCUAAGUACGGAAGGGAUAAGCGCUGAAAGCAUCUAAGCGUGAAGCCCCCCUCAAGAUGAGAUUUCCCAAUUCGUAAGACCCCUUGAAGACGACGAGGUAGAUAGGUUGGAGGUGGAAGUGCAGCAAUGCAUGGAGCUGACCAAUACUAAUCGGUCGAGGGCUUAUCCUA
rnacentral:ncRNA from 1 species